GACGUAGGGCGCGAGCGUUGUCCGGAUUUAUUGGGCGUAAAGAGCUCGUAGGAGGCUUGUCGCGUCGACUGUGAAAUCCCGCGGCUCAACUGCGGGUCUGCAGUCGAUACGGGCAGGCUAGAGUUCGGUAGGGGAGACUGGAAUUCCUGGUGUAGCGGUGAAAUGCGCAGAUAUCAGGAGGAACACCGGUGGCGAAGGCGGGUCUCUGGGCCGAUACUGACGCUGAGGAGCGAAAGCGUGGGGAGCGAACAGG
rnacentral:rRNA from 1 species